rnacentral:rRNA from 1 species
AGCAGCCGCGGUAAUUCCAGCUCCAAUAGCGUAUAUUAAAGUUGCUGCAGUUAAAAAAGCUCGUAGUUGAAUUUCGGGACCAAUAUUUCGGUCGUGCCUCGGUACGUACUGGCAUCGUUGGUUUCUCCCUUCUGACGAACCAUGAUGUCAUUUAUUUGGUGUCGUGGGGAAUCAGGACUGUUACUUUGAAAAAUUAGAGUGUUUAAAGCAGGCUCACGCUUGAAUACAUUAGCAUGGAAUAAUGAAAUAGGACGUUUGAUUCUAUUUUGUUGGUUUCUAGGAUCGACGUAAUGAUUAAUAGGGAUAGUUGGGGGCAUUAGUAUUCAAUUGUCAGAGGUGAAAUUCUUGGAUUUAUUGAAGACUAACUACUGCGAAAGCAUUUGCCAAGGAUGUUUUCAUUAAUCAAGAACGAAAGUUAGGGGAUCGAAGACGAUCAGAUACCGUCGUAGUCUUAACCAUAAACUAUGCCGACUAGGGAUCGGAUGAUGUUAAUUUUUAAUGUACUCA